GGUUGAUUCUCUUAUGCGUUGUGUAUUAUGCGCUAUGCAAAAGUCUGUAUUCUGGCCCAUAAUAUUAUUCUACGCACACAGAUGUCUAUACUAUACUAGAUUGCUAACUUCGAUUUUUGACCUAUACAAGAGCUGUGUCCCGCCUAUUUUCCGGUUCGGCUAUGAAGACCGCCAAAACAUGGCGGCGGUGUGUGUUUAUAGUGCGUACGUGAGUAUCCGAUGCGUGUGUAGUAGUACUGUACUGUAAGUAUGUGAUACCUGAUGUGUCUACACUGAUGUGUCGUAUCUACUGCUAUUUAUAUUAGUAAAACUGCAAAUAUAUAAACGAGAUAAUGCCAAGUACAUGUUGCAUUGUUAAUUGCAAUAAUACGAAUAAAAAAGGAUAUCACUUAUUUAAAUUUCCGAUAAAACGUCCAGAGAUUUAAAAAAAAUGGAUUUGUGCAAUCGGAGGAAAUUUUACACCAAAAAAACACCAUGUAAUCUGUAGUGCUCACUUUUUAC
rnacentral:lncRNA from 1 species